CUCAAUCAAAAGUGGUAGAAAACACUAUAUACAUACCUACGGAGAAAAAUUCUUUUUCUUUCUUGUGAUGAAAAUAAAUAAUAAUAUUAUUCAAUAUAGAUAUUUCCAUAAAUUCUCAAACAAAAAUUAAUCUUUCGAUAUAUGAAAAGAGAUUAAUCCAAGAAAGAUUUCAAGCAAUUCUAACCCUCUUUUACAUUGCUAGAAUUCCAAUAAAUCAAAAUAGCAAUGAGUUUCAUUCAGAAUAAAAGAAAAAUUAAGGUUUUUCAGGUUUUGAUUAUAUGAUUUUGACGUUGAUCCAAUUAGCUGCAUUUCCCUCUUUCAUAUCCAGCCUGUCGCAAACUCUUCGUGAAAAUCACGGCCACGGGAGGGCUUGUCCAUUUGAUAUUAGGAGCUUUCCAGCCAACGUUAGGAGCUCCUCGGUACAGCUCCGAAGCGCACUUCAUAGAGUAAUUAUAUACAGAGGAGAAACUGAGAAACAGUAAUUUAGUUCCCUCAACAACUUCUAGUGGUCGCUCACAUCGCUGAUUUUCUGUUUACCUCGAGAAAUAUUCACUUAACCUCAAAAAUUUUUAGUUAAUCCGUCGAACGUAGCGUACUUUAUUUUUGGUAAGAGAUUUAUUAUGUCGCAGUCAACUUUGAAAUCCAACAAAUAUUGUGUUCCUAACUGUGGAGAUAUGUAUAGUAAACGUCAUCGUUUUCGAAUGAAGAGAAGCAGCCAACAAUUUUCAAACUUUGGCUCGAAAAAGUUAGUUAUCCAUUGCUCAACUCUAAAACUCCUCAACAAAUUUGCAAGAAUUGAAAUAAGAUAGCCUUCAAGGAAUUUGGCAACUGCUAUCCCUGAAUUAUUUCUUCCUGGAUUUUCAAAUCAAGGGGAAGACAGAGAAGUUCAUGAUACUGAAGGAAUACAUCUCCAAAAUGAUGUUGAGAGGGAGGUAUCAACAGAGACUUUGAAGAAUUUUAAGCAGCCUCAGAAAACUUCAAUAAUAUAUAGAAUAACUGAAAAUGAACGUUAUCUAUCAAAAUGUCUGAUUGAUCAGAAUAGAAAUCUGAGAAUAAUCCAAAAAAAAGUUUCAUCUUACAAAGAGCGGCUAAAAAAUGUAGAGAAACUUAAUUCAUCAGCAAAUUUCAGUAGACUGAUGAAUUAUGUUUCUCCAACAGCUUUUAAUCGGGCACACUUUUGUAAGUAGUUGUGAGUUCCAACAUUUCAAACAAAUGGUAUAGUAGAGUUUUCAAUUCUGAUUGAGUCAAUUUAGAACUAUUUAUUGCAAUAAAUUUGAUGAAAAUAUAAGUACUUAUGAAUGUUUUGCUUCCUACAGAUAUCGAGGACAACAAUUAAUUGACACUAGAGGCUGUGGGCACUGCAGAGCUGAUGGAUAAGCUGUUUGAUAUCCUGAAUAUGCAAUUGUGAAGGGCACUGAUACAAAAUUCAAAUCUUCUGGAGUUACAUGUGACCCAAUUAAAAAUUUGGCAUACUAGAACUAUUUAAAAAAAUGUAAAACUUUAAAUAGAUGAUUUUUUUAUA